rnacentral:rRNA from 1 species
GAUGAACGCUGGCGGCGUGCUUAACACAUGCAAGUCGAACGGGAAAUAUUUCAUUGAGACUUCGGUGGAUUUGAUCUAUUUCUAGUGGCGGACGGGUGAGUAACGCGUGGGUAACCUGCCUUAUACAGGGAGAUAACAGUCAGAAAUGGCUGCUAAUACCGCAUAAGCGCACAGAGCUGCAUGGCUCAGUGUGAAAAACUCCGGUGGUAUAAGAUGGACCCGCGUUGGAUUAGCUGGUUGGUGGGGUAACGGCCCACCAAGGCGACGAUCCAUAGCCGGCCUGAGAGGGUGAACGGCCACAUUGGGACUGAGACACGGCCCAGACUCCUACGGGAGGCAGCAGUGGGGAAUAUUGCACAAUGGGGGAAACCCUGAUGCAGGGACGCCGCGUGAAGGAAGAAGUAUCUCGGUAUGUAAACUUCUAUCAGCAGGGAAGAUAGUGACGGUAC